GUCUUUUUGAUUUUAAUUUAAAGUCAAAUCUGCCCACUGAUUUAUAUUAAAGGGCUGCAGUAUAUUGACUGUACAAAGGUAGCAUAAUAAAUAGUCUUUUAAUUGAAGACUUGUAUGAAAGAUUUGAUGAGAUAUAAACUGUCUCUUUUUUAUAUUUAGAAUUUAAUUUUUUAGUAAAAAAGCUAAAAUUAAUUUAAAAGACGAGAAGACCCUAUAGAGUUUUAUAAUUAAUUUACUUAUAUAUUUAUAUAUAUAAAUUAAAAUUUAAUUAAUUUAAUUAUUUUGUUGGGGUGAUAGAAAAAUAAAUUUAACUUUUUUUAAAAUAUUACAUUAAUUAAUGAAUAUAUGAUCCAUAAAUUAUGAUUAAAAGAAAAAAUUACCUUAGGGAUAACAGCGUAAUUUUUUUUUUUAGUUCUUAUAGGAAAAAAAGUUUGCGACCUCGAUGUUGGAUUAAGAUAAAAUUUAAAUGUAGAAGUUUAAAAUUUUUGAUCUGUUCGAUCAUU
rnacentral:rRNA from 1 species